rnacentral:rRNA from 1 species
UGGGGAAUAUUGGACAAUGGGCGCAAGCCUGAUCCAGCAAUGCCGCGUGAGUGAUGAAGGCCUUAGGGUUGUAAAGCUCUUUCGCACGCGACGAUGAUGACGGUAGCGUGAGAAGAAGCCCCGGCUAACUUCGUGCCAGCAGCCGCGGUAAUACGAAGGGGGCUAGCGUUGUUCGGAAUUACUGGGCGUAAAGGGCGCGUAGGCGGCCUGUUUAGUCAGAAGUGAAAGCCCCGGGCUCAACCUGGGAAUAGCUUUUGAUACUGGCAGGCUUGAGUUCCGGAGAGGAUGGUGGAAUUCCCAGUGUAGAGGUGAAAUUCGUAGAUAUUGGGAAGAACACCGGUGGCGAAGGCGGCCAUCUGGACGGACACUGACGCUGAGGCGCGAAAGCGUGGGGAGCAAACAGGAUUAGACACCCUGGUAGUCCACGCCGUAAACGAUGAAUGCUAGACGUCGGGGUGCAUGCACUUCGGUGUCGCCGCUAACGCAUUAAGCAUUCCGCCUGGGGAGUACGGCCGCAAGGUUAAAACUCAAAUGAAUUGAC